rnacentral:lncRNA from 1 species
AUCAGAAGUUGUUCACUGAAUGGUAUUAGGCCAAGUUCUUGCUUGACUAUAUCUUAUUACCAUCUCUGUGUUUGGAGGUGAAAAAAUGGAAAUGGCCAACAAGCAGAGGUGUGGACAGUCAGCUCACCAGCCUUGUUGGGAUAAGGACAAUACUUGUCUGUUGCUUAAAAGCAUUUAUAUCAAUAUUAGAAUGGAAGAAGAAAGGACAAGCGGGGACAUAAUACACGUCUGUUUGUACAGACAUGGAAGAAGAAAGAAAGGACAGGAGCUGAGUAGUGGCCUCCCACUGAAAGGAGAUGGGAAGGAGAGGGGCAGCUGGAAUGGGCUGUUUUGGGUGUAACGGGGAAAAACUGAUGCGGAAAAGGAGUGCUUGAAAUAUUAUUGUGACUUGAAUGUUGCUUUCACUAUCUGACCUCUCCCAUUCCCAGGCGAUGCCUGUCUGAUGCCCCUUUUUCUUUCCAGAUAAUACUUAAACUGUUCCCUAUAUUUCAUACAGUUCUUUAACUGUCUAUUCUGUGUC